AUUGAACGCUGGCGGCAGGCUUAACACAUGCAAGUCGAGCGCGAGGCGGACGGGUGAGUAAUGUCUGGGAAACUUCGUGAUGGCGGGGGAUAACUCCUGGAAACGGUAGCUAAUACCGCAUACCCUCAGAUGUGCCCAGAUGUGGUUAGCUAGUAGGUGGGGUAAUGGCUCACCUAGGCGACGAGCCCUAGAUGGUCUGAGAGGAUGACCAGCCACACUGGAACUGAGACACGGUCCAGACUCCUACGGGAGGCAGCAGUGGGGAAUAUUGCACAAUGGGGGCAAGCCUGAUGCAGCCAUGCCGCGUGUGUGAAGAAGGCCUUCGGGUUGUAAAGCACUUUCAGCGAGGAGGCGUUACUCGCAGAAGAAGCACCGGCUAACUCCGUGCCAGCAGCCGCGGUAAUAC
rnacentral:rRNA from 1 species